CCGUACAGCAAUCCUCUCUCUCCCCAAAACCCAAGCUCCUCUCCCCUCCCCAGAUCCCUCUUUCCUCUCCUGCUCACCCCUUCACGCCGACGCCUUCAGCCGUCGAGCUCGUCGUCGAGCUCCCCAAACCCUCCUCCCUCUCCCUCCGACCAACUACGACUCCGACUCCGACUCCGACCUCCUCCGCUGCUCCCUCUCAUAUCGCCGCCAGCUCGCCGCCAGUCUUCACCCGCGUCGGAGCCAAGCCCGCGAGCCCCGUCGCCGCCAGUCUUCACCCUCGUCGGAUCCAAGCCCAGAUCGAGAUAAAAGAUGAAGAACUUUUCGGAAGAGUUCAGUGGAGAAGAAGAUGAGGGUUUAGCACAAAGAAGAUGUUAUUGUGGGUUAAUUUGUAGAAUAUCGAUGUGCAAGCAAGGACGCAAUAAGGGCUUAGAAUUUUAUGGAUGCCCGAGAUACAAAGAACAUCACAAAAAGGUUGGAAAGGCUAGAAAAAAGUUAUGAGGUUUUGAAUAAAAUGCUGAAUGAAGUAAUUUUAUAUUUAAAAUUUAUAAGUAUCGUUGUACUGAUAUUGUUGCUCUAUGUUAUAGUCAAAUGACUGAGCAAUAUAUUAAUGAAUGACUAUUGUAUCCAAAUAUCCUAUUGUAAAUGAAUGUGAGAACUAGUUAUGUUUAUGUGAAAAUGGUUCAGUUGUUAUGAUUAUGUGGUUGAUAUUCGUUGUUA